AGAUACCCCACUAUGCCUAGCCGUAAAAUUAAAUUACACUACCAACGCCAGGGAAUUACGAGCUUAAGCUUAAAACCCAAAGGACUUGACGGUGACCCACCCAUCUAGAGGAGCCUGUUCUAUAAUCGAUAAUCCACGCUAUACCUUACCGUUUCUUGCUUCUCAGCUUGUAUACCUCCGUCGUAAAUUCACCGUUUGAACGAAUAGUAGUGUGUCUGACGACCACCCGCCAAUACGUCAGGUCAAGGUGCAGCUCAUGAAACGGAAAGCAAUGGGCUACAAUUUCUAACAUAGAAUAAACGAAAAACUGUAUGAAACACAGCUAUGAAGGCGGAUUUAGUAGUAAAUGGGGAGUAGAGAGCCCCCUUUAAUCUGGCCCUGGGACAUGUACAAACCGCCCGUCACCCUCUUCGAUAGCCCUAUUUAUCUGCUUCAUAACACAACCUCGCGCCUUAGAAGAGGCAAGUCGUAACAUGGUAAGUGUACUGGAAAGUGCACUUGGAACAACAAAAUGUAGCUUAAUUAAAGCCUCUCGCUUACACCGAGAUAAUGCCUGUUUAAAUCAGACCAUCUUGAGCCUACAAUCCAGCCUAACCAACACAUAUGCACCCCGUAUACUUCUGUUUGACGAUAAAACAUUUUAUUAUUUUAGUAGAGGCGAUCAAAAAAAAUCUUAGAGCCCUAGAUUUAGUACCGCAAGGGAAAGAUGAAAUAAUAAUGAAAUAAACUUAAAGCUUCUAAUAGCAGAGAUUAUCACUUGUACCUUUUGCAUCAUGGUCUAGCAAGUCUUACCAAGCAAAAUGAAAUUUUUAGUUUGACCCCCCGAAACUAAGCGAGCUACUUCAAAACAGCUUUUUAGAGCGAACCCGUCUCUGUAGCAAAAGAGUGGGAUGAUUUUCAAGUAGCAGUGACAAGCCUACCGAGCUUAGAGAUAGCUGGUUAUUCAAGAAAAGAAUAUUAGUUCUACCCUAAAUUUUGUAAUUUCACUAAACAAAUCCAUAAAUUUAGGAGCUAUUCAAGUAAGGCACAACUUACUUGAAACAGGAUACAACCUAACCCAACGGGUAAAAAUUCUUUUUAUUAUGAUAAGUGGGCCUAAAAGCAGCCAUCUUUUAAAAAGCGUUAAAGCUUAGCUAUACUAUACCUCGAUAAUACCACAAAUUAUUUUUAACCCUUCUUCACUAUUGAAUGAAUCCAUACGUAUAUGGAUGACACCAUGCUAGAACUAGUAACNAGAAUUUUUUCUCCAAAAUAUAANUGUAAGCCAAAACCAAUUAAUGGCAUUUAACGAAUAUGAACCUACUGUAGCAACUUUCACUGGAAAACCCUUCAGUAACCCCCGUUAACCUGACACUAGAAUAUUUCUGGAAAGAUUUACAGAGAGAGAAGGAACUCGGCAAAUUUUAACCCCGCCUGUUUACCAAAAACAUCGCCUCUUGAUUAAACAUAAGAGGUCCAGCCUGCCCAGUGACAAAGUUCAACGGCCGCGGUACCCUGACCGUGCGAAGGUAGCAUAAUCACUUGUUCUUUAAAUAGGGACUAGUAUCAACGGCAUCACGAGGGUUACACUGUCUCCUCCCUCUAAUCAGUGAAACUGAUCUCCCCCGUGAAGAAGCGGGGAUUUAAAUAUAAGACGAGAAGACCCCAUGGAGCUUCAAACCCACAGCAACUCUCAACACUUAUACCCCGAUAUAUUAGAGUUAUGCACAACGGUUUUAGGUUGGGGUGACCGCGGAGUAAAAACUAACCUCCACGACGUACAGAACUACUCCUUUAUCCAAGAAUUACUAUUCUAAGAAUCAGCAGACUGACGUAAAAUGACCCGAUAAUCGAUCAACGAACCAAGUUACCCUGGGGAUAACAGCGCAAUCCACUUCAAGAGCCCAUAUCGACAAGUGGGUUUACGACCUCGAUGUUGGAUCAGGGUAUCCCAGUGGUGCAGCCGCUACUAAUGGUUCGU
rnacentral:misc_RNA from 1 species